AUCGCUUCUUGGCCUUUUGGCUAUGGUCAUGUGUAGUAUCUGUUCUUUUCAGAUUAAUAUCUCUGGCAAGUAAAGUUACUUACACUUCUUGAAUCCAGCAGCCUCCUUCAUACCUUUAGGCUUCUGAAUCUGUUUUUGCUAGGUCUACCCUCCCCAGCUCAGUGGCUUGGAGAGCAGAUGCUCU